AGACAAAAUGGCAGACGCCGGAGUACGCAUUCGUGUAGUAGACAAUUUGUCUUCCAUCCAAAAAAAUGUACGCGAAUCAAUCGCUCGAGCAAUGAUCUGAGAAGAAUAGUAAAUUAUAUUUCAAUAUUGCUCUUUCUUAUACGUCGGAUAUCCUAAUUAACGGAGCCGAGCAGCGAUGAUUCACCUAAUAUUAUAAUCUCACCCCGAUUCCAAGAAUACGGUGACACAAUCAGAUGUAACGAAUUAAGAAGGUAUAAAUUCACCAAUCAUGGGGAUUUGAGGUGACCGUUGCUCGCCGGAAACACCAAAGGAGUUGUCCAUUGUCAAACCCGCCGCUUUCUCGGAUUAACAAUUACCGAGAAAUAUAAAAAAAGUCGUAAAACCAAAUAUUGCACGUGGGCGCAUUAAUGAAUAAAUUGAUGCACACGGCCCUUGAUAGGACAAAAGGAACCAUAAACAAAAAAUUGUAUAAAUAGGCGCGUUUUCCAGAGCGAGUAGUCUAGUUUUGAUUCUUGCUCAAUUCGAAUCACAGUUCCGUGGCAUCUUGUAUGCCCGAGUUCUGUGACUCUCGGAUCCGCGGUCUUUAAACUCGUACGGAGUGCAAGUCUCGAUCAAAAAAGAAAAGUGUCAUUGAAACGGGCCUAUUUGGGAUCUGCCGACCAUUGUGCAUCGCACGCGGAAUCCCUUCGACCGAACCAUUCAUCUCCCGCCGAGUGUGGCCCAGUUUGGAGACCUGCGGUUCAGAGAGCGUUACAUUCGCCACAACAUCAUCAACACAAACAAUACCACCAUACAACCAAUACAAUCAACAAGUAGUAAGUUGCAAUCUUCCGUCUAUCUUUGAAUUCUUUGUUUUGAGUUCAUCACCUUUUCUUUCUUUCGGGUAAUCCAUAUAUAAAUUUAUAUUGUCAACCGCCACACCCUUUGACCCAUUUUCCGUCUAUCUUUCUAUUUUUGGGGGAUUGAAACGAACUCCGUUCGAUUCGAUUCAAACUACAUCCUUUAUUUCUGUUUCUGGAUUAAAUCGAGCUUCGGCUUGAUUUGAUUCAAAAAAAUUUAUCAUUAAAAUUUCCUCUUUUUAGGAUUAAAUCAAACUCCGUUCGAUUCGUUUCAAAAGAAUUCUCUCUUGCAAUCCGAUCACUUUCUCAUCCUCCUUUCUUUCUCUCUCUCCAAUCAAAUUUUUUUUUUAUCUUUUCCUUCUUUUUUAUAUAUUUGAGAAAAAGGGGAGUCAAUUAUUUAUUUUAUUCAUUCUAGUGGAUAGUUGAACUCCACGAAAAAUUUACAAAAAUACGUCUCGGGCCGCAACCCGGCAUCGUAGAAACCGUAGGAAUUGCCGAAUCCGCCGGCUUAAAGCGUUGGAAAAAAAAAUCGAAACCCUUGUAGUUCAAGUCGAUCUGAUUUACUCCCCUGUUUUGUACUCUCCUGUCGUUCACGAACAAAAAGAAAGCUCCUCUCGAGCUUUACAUUAAUUUAUAUCGCAUCGACUCGCCGGACUCUGUGACUAGCCAACUAACGUAUAGAAUUUUCCCAGAUCCCCCCCCCUCUCUCUCUCUCUCUCUCUCUCUCUCUUCUUCUCCCCGUUCUCCGAUCCCUGAGGUCCAAGAUGUGGAGGAAGAGCAUUUUCCUCCCGAUCUUCCGAUCUUAGGCUUGCACGAUUUUGAAGACGAGAUUCCUUCUCCUUCUCCCGUCCUUAGUGUAGAGUUUUUAGAGCUACCACCACUUCCCUCGCGUUGUUAUUUUGCCCUUGGUCCCCUUCAAUUUUUUGAAUCAUUUUUAUUAGUGUUUCCAAUAUCCUCUGUCCCACUCCCUCUUGGCGCGUUCUCAUCAGGCCUAAGGUAUUCGAUCUCAAAGCGGUCCGUGCUUUCCUUCUCGUUUUCCCCCCGAUGCGCCUGUCCCCGUGUACCUUCCCCAUAUAUACCCAAAUUACUAUUUAGUCCCCAAGUUAAUAUUUCUGAACCACUUUUGCCCUAACACUACAACACAUGAGAGCGGCAGCUAUGCGGUAAUAGUAAACAUAUCAAGCAGUUUUGGAAUAGUCUUGACCGUGAAUAAUUAUCAACACUCAGGAAACAAGGAUACCUGUAAAAGGUAAGAGAACCAUAAGAUUUAAAUUGUUAAUUACUCGGCUCCUCUACUGAUUAAGCGAUGCUGAUUCAAUUCAUGAUGUAAGAAUAUUAUCUCGAUUAAAAUAUCGAGAAAAGAAUAGAAUUGCACUAUGAAAGUUUUCUUGUGUAUAUCCAAGCUUUGUGUAUAUGAUGCUAGAAAUCGGUUCCAGUUCUGGAUCCGAAAAAAAAUGACUGAAACUCGAUUCGUGAACACAAGCAACUCGGAUGAAAAUUUCGUAAUAUAGAAACCUCGUAUAGAAAAAUGCAUCCUGUCCCAUUUUUCCGUACUAGAUUCAAUUUAUACUGCCAAUAUUAAUUUCUUAUAAAUAGUAGAUGAAUGUUGGUUAAUGUAACGUUGAACAUCGGAAAUUAUAAUUUUCACAACCUUUAAUAAAUAAAAAUCAUAAUAUUUUAAUAUUAUUAUUUAGUAUAUAUUUUAAUAUUAUAAAUUUAGUAGCUAACCUCAGAUAUUCGAGUAUAAUGUUAUUGUUACGUCCUGCGGAGUAACGAUUCUUUCCUUCGCAACCAGCGGAUAUUCUAAUUAACGGGACCGAGCGGCGGUGAUCUCACCCCGAUUCCAAGAUUACGAUGACUCU